GGGGGAUUAGCUCAGUUGGCUAGAGCGCUAGCAUGGCAUGUUAGAGGUCAUCGGUUCGACCCCGAUAUCCUCCACGA
rnacentral:tRNA from 1 species